rnacentral:rRNA from 1 species
GAUGAACGCUGGCGGCGUGCCUAAUACAUGCAAGUCGAGCGAAUGGAUUAAGAGCUUGCUCUUAUGAAGUUAGCGGCGGACGGGUGAGCAACACGUGGGUAACCUGCCCAUAAGACUGGGAUAACUCCGGGAAACCGGGGCUAAUACCGGAUAACAUUUUGAACCGCAUGGUUCGAAAUUGAAAGGCGGCUUCGGCUGUCACUUAUGGAUGGAACCGCGUCGCAUUAGCUAGUUGGUGAGGUAACAGAUCACCAAGGCAACGAUGCGUAGCCGACCUGAGAGGGUGAUCGGCCACACUGGGACUGAGACACGGCCCAGACUCCUAUGGGAGGCAGCAGUAGGGAAUCUUCCGCAAUGGACGAAAGUCUGACGGAGCAACGCCGCGUGAGUGAUGAAGGCUUUCGGGUCGUAAAACUCUGUUGUUAGGGAAGAACAAGUGCUAGUUGAAUAAGCUGGCACCUUGACGGUACCUAACCAGAAAGCCACGGCUAACUACGUGCCAGCCGCCGCAGUAA